AGCCCCAUACGCAGCCUCCGCGCCACACGACACCGCUCCUGCUGCGCACGCGCAGUAACUCACUGUCUUGCGCGUGCGCCGCUCUCCGAGUCGUCGCUCGUCCCUUUGCUUUUUUGAGUCCUGCCGCUUAUGUGCACGCUUUUUUUGCUGGGUGUUUUUAUGUUUAAGGAGUUUUAUUAGUCCUUUUUAAUUGCGCUUCCACGGCGCUGCUGAGUUCGUGUGCACGGGUGGGAUGCUCUGUGCUGCACAUGUGCAGCCUUAUUUGCAGUGCUAAGAAGCAGAGGAGCCCAGCCCGUGCUCAGGUUUGGGGGGAGCGCAGCAAUGCACAAGAUGGACGUGUCAAACAAGGCAGGAACCCAGGAUGGACGUCCUGGAGCGCAUCAAGCAGAGCACCAAGGAGCUCUGCAGGAGCCACAGCCCUAAAUACUCACGGUGGCACGGAAAACACCUUUGUAUCCUGUCAACCUCACAGCUCUUAACUGGCCCAAGAUGGGAUGAGGCACUCAAUUCUGCAGCUUGUUCCCAUUCACGCAUGGAUCUGUCAUCACUGGCCUCAUUAGGGAGAUCUAGGCCCACCACUGAGGAUCAGGUAUGCCUAUGAAUUGCUAGAACCAGCAAUAACCCAGUUAUUCCUUAAGUCUUGAAACCCUGGGAACAAACCCAGCACAUGUAGGUGCGGACAAGACAAAAUUCAUGUUUGCACAGACACCUGCAUGGACACACAUAUAGUGUGCUAACAAAAAUCCACCUGCAUGGACCCACAAGAGCUUGCACAGACAGUGCGCCCACAGACAGAGAUCUCACAGCACAGCUACAUAGGUGACAACUAACCUGGCUGCUCCCAGGCUCUGCCCAUCUAAAGCUGUGGGGCAUCAGGGCUGCAAGGCAGCUCUCCUCUGAGAAGGCAGCUGGGUCUGGUGGCAGCAUUUUUCCCAACUGGUGCAUUCAGACCCUCUACUCUUCAUCAAUUCCACUGUGGCAUUCCCCCCAUGUCACUCUUUCAUUUGCACUGAAGCUCAACAAGGCUGUAGAACAUCGAACUUACAUAUCACUUCAACUGCAUUUGUACAUGGAGCUCCUUCUAUUGCUCACCUUCGUGGAAUGGUGUUUGUUACAGAGACGGAGGAAAAAUUUUUUAAAAUAUCCUUCAAGUCAUCAAUUUAUUAGGGUAUCAGAACCCAUGCUUGCAACCCUAAAUGUAUAGAGUGCAUAUAAAAUACUGACUGCUUCACUGCAUGACAUUUUAUUAAGCGGUACCAUCUAAACUCAGCAAGGAUUUAACAGUUAUUAUAAACUUUGAUUCACCUUCUUCAGAAAUGAGUUAGAAACAUCUUCACAUAUGCCUGGACCUUCACUUUUCAGACGAAUGUCCCGGAACUAGCUGUAUUUCAGCUAAUUACUGAAUAAUACUUGUAAGUGUUGGCACCAAAUGCCUAAAGUUACCAGAAUGGGCAUAGAAAUAUGCAAUUUCCUUAGCAUUCCAUUUUCUUUCAAAUCUUACAGAUGACAGGCCAACUCAUGUAAUGCUAGCAAAGUUAACUCUACAAAUCACGAGCUCAUUUCAGCUGGCAAGGCACAUCCUUUCCCCUGCAGGAGGUUAGUUUUACGUACUGCAACAAUAAACUAAAACUCAAGGCAUUUCAACAUACUGCACUCUUUGCCGAUACAUUGUUACUGAGGCAAUUACAAAACUAACACAUCUGUAGGAAAUACAAUUCCAAUACAUGUUUAAAAAUUUAUUGUACCACCAUUUAUAGAAAGCAUUUAAAUCCAAAAUGGUCAGAACGAUCUUAAAUACGUGGGUAAGAAUUUAGAAACAUUAGUGAAGAUAUCCCACAGACUCCAGCUUUCUAUGUUUUCAAGCAUAAGUUCUGGUAGAUAUCCACACUUAAAUGAAAUGGACAAUACCAGUAGAGAUGCAUACCUCUUUCGUCUUUAUUUAUAAAGAAAUGACAACACUAGAAAACACAUUGAUAACUGGUGCUUUGAACAGUGAAGGUGGGAUCUAAAAAGUCUGAUUAAACUAAACAACCAGAGGUCUUUUGUCAAGUUGCAUAUCUGCCAGGAAUGCUGAAAUGCAAGAGUUUACCUGUAACAUUCCAUAAUGGAACAGCCACAUGAUAUCAAAUAUAAUCUCAGAUUUCCAAACUGGUACAUAAAAAAGCCAUCACCAAGUAUUAAAAGACCUCUGCAAGUUCUUAUUGCUUUUUGAGUUAAAUAAUAAUCUUCAAAUAAGCCUAAACCCAAACAAUCUCUACAGUAUCUUGCUUAUCCUCCUGUUCAUUCAUUAACAAUGGAAGCUAUCAGUUAUAUGAUGCAGCAAAAGAGGCAUUUAAGAACACCCAAACAAAACCUAUUUAAGUACACGGGCAUCCCCACCCUCCCCCUGAAACCCCCUAUAACCACUUAGUGCCAGUACAGGAGCAAAACUCAGUAAGACAAAGCCAGAAGUCUGACUACAGUAAGAAGGAAACACAAAGGGAGAUAGAGCUUCCUUAAAUAUUCAGAAUCUGAUGUCUUCCAAAACAAAGCACAACAUCCUCAUAAUUUAAAAAGGGAAGUUGCAUUCUAUGUAUCUAAUCCGCACACAUGCUGAGUAGUUCUCAAGUCUACUGAGCUCCACUGUGCUGCAGUUGAUUUUGAAUUCAACAAUGCUUCAAAAACUACAGUAAUAUUCAAUGCGCAUUUUACUAAGGAGAGGAAUAAACCAAAUGCAUGUUGAUGUUGCUCUUGCCAGUUCAGCAUUUCUGCAGCAAUUCUGCUUGUUUCUUGCAGUAUGAAAGUUCUACCAGCAUCAGUCUUCAGAGUCAUCUUCAGAAGCUGUUGGAACAAUACAGUGUAAUCAGAAGCCUUGACAAAAAUGUGUGAAAUUAAAGCACUUUAGGAUGAGUAGAGGAAAUAAAGGUGAUUUAAUAAUAUUAAAUAGCAGACUGUAAUACCCACCCAGACCUUGAGUAAUCACAUAACUUAAUUCUUAAAUGCAUCUCAUGUCAUAAAAAUACAGCAUUUUCAAAUCAAAACUCAACAGAACAUACAAUAUGCUGUGUCCUCCUACUCUUCUUCCUCAAAAUAAGAGGGAGAAAACUUAAUUGUGCCAGAGAUUCAACUUUUAUGUAGUGCUUAGGGUGGCUAAUUCCAGCAGUAGUCAGAGGAGGAUACACUCAAUCUAUGACAGCAGCACUCAUGGUAAGUUAACAGUAAGUUAACAAUUUGGAUAGGAAAAUACCUAGAAUGAUCCAGCAGUCUAAACAAAGACUCUUACAUUUUAUAUAUAUAUUGCUUAAUGCAACCUGGGCCUACUUGGAAGGAGCUCCUCUCUCCACUCCUGUCCUUUCAGCAUAUGCAAGAUGGGCACAAAGCCCAUGUAUGCACAGGAUUUUGUCGUUGCAAGGUGAGCCAAAGACAAAUACACACUUGCCAACUACGGUAGAAAAGUCUACACACAUCUACAUUACGUUUGUAAAAUGUUAGCUUCUCUGUAACAGGAGUUUAGUGUGUCCUCUUAAGCAAGGUCUGCAGGCAAGGAAGUAUUUAUACUGGAGUAACUUGUUCCAUCCCUGAACACAGAAUGAAGAGCUUGCUUUUUCAGUUCUUAGAAGAGAAAUGUAACUGAAGCACAUCAGUAACAAAUCUAGAACUCAGUAUUCCUCACCUGCAAGUUAAAGGCUGAAUCAAAUAUAGAUUGAACUAAGGAGUUAAAUGACACUCGUUAAUUUUUCCUCUAGUAAGGAUGCACAUAACUUGGGAAUGAAUCAUAACUCAAGUCCACCUUUGACCGCUCUCAAUGCAGAAAUAAUCACCUUGAACCAGAACUCCCUCUGUCACACACACACCCUUUCUUUAUAUUCCAAAUGCAUCCUGUGCACUGAAAACCCAUACGCAGUUGACAGACACAUGCACACUAGGAAAGAAAGGGUAGACCAACUACCCCUUUACUGCCUAUUCAACAUGCUCAGAAGUAGUUCCAAGGUAUAUUUACCAAAAAUUUAGAUGUAUCAGCAUAUCGUUUUGAAUCUAAACACGCUAAAAAAAAGCCAUUAGAUGAAAAGUAGGCUAAUCCUUUGCCAAAACUGGCAACCUUUAGACUUCAUUCAAGAGGUCUGAUAGAUCCGAUCAAGGAACCCACACAACCAAAAAGUGUAUGUGAAUGGAAAAAACAAAGGGGAGAAGAGGGCAAGAAAAAGAAAGGGAAGACAACUGGCAACACAAGUGUUUAAUUUAAAUGCAGUAAAAUUCAAUUCUAAAUGUUUCUUUCAUACUACUUUCUUUCCUACUUUCUCUUGUAAAAGGCAGCAACCUGAAGAUCACCAUUUAUCCUGCAGUUAUGAAUUACCAGAACUAUAAUAACCAAACUGUAACUACUAAAGAAUUUUGUUAUCAAUUGCAGAUAACAUUUCUGUGGUCUAAACAACUCUGUGCUGUUGAGAAGUUAAUCAUGGUUAAUCGGUUCCCCCUCAGAAUAAUUCUACUCAUGAUGGAAAAAGCACUGCUGAGUAAGGUUUUCAGUCAUUAUGUUCAGUAUUAUGAAUCUUGGCAAGGAGGAUUGUACUCAUUAGCUUUGAGUUGUUGAUCUAAUGGGAGGGGAGGGAAAGAGGGGAAGCACCUACUUUCAAUAUCUUCCAUAUGUGCCUGAAGAGUUCUUGCAAGGUUAAUAAACUAGAAACAAGGCAGAGAGAAAGUAGUUUAAAAGUUGCAAAGUUAUCUGCAGAAAUUUGCAACAAGUUAGCAAAUUUUUCUUCACUUUUUACAUUCCAAAGCUUCAUGACAGAUCUUGGUUACCUAACCCAUUUGCCCAACUUACAAAAAAAAUGCAAAAUUUAACAUAAAUCCCCACAGACUAGAUCUCAAAUUGCUAUUGCACAGUUAUUUCAGCUGCAAAAUGUCUGUGGUAGCAACUUGUGACAUCAUCUUCCUGUUCUACAGUCUGUAGAACAUAUCGAUUUUGAAAGCAGCAAACAUAAACAAGUGUCAGUUUAAUGAAAACCAUUCCUAGAAACUGUAAUAUAGAAAAACAAUCACAGUAAGGACUUGCAUUAGUUAAAUCCAUUUCAUUUAAUUCACGAUUAAUAUGACAAAACAGAACCCUCAGAAUGAAU